UGCAGACCGAUUGUGUUCAAGUUUGUCGUGUAUAAGUCCGCGGCGCUCGUACUGAGUAAUAGCGAUCGAAUGACUGGCAAGCAUUGAUCUGCAUGCAGAGGGGUAGAAUCUUCGCGUCGUAGUCAGAUGACUAUGCGUUAUGACGAUAGUGGAUGUAACAACGGAUGGUGUAACGGCUAGUCACGUAGCGUCAAGAUUGACGCUCGAUGCACGAUACAGCGUGGCGAGCUAGUCAUGAUUCAGAUACUCUGGUAGUCCACGCUCUAAACGAUGUCUACUAGUUGUCGUGUUUUAACUUAACGUGGUAUCGCAGCUAUCGCGUCCAGUAGACCGCCUGGGGAGUACGGUCACAAGAUUGAAACUCAAAGGAAUUGACGGGCAGGCGCACAAGCGGCGGAUGAUUUGGACUAAUCCCAUGCAACGCGAACAGGCUCAGCUACCCUUGGCAUGUACGGAAGGACGAAGAGAUUUGGUUGUGCUCGAAAGAGAUGCAUAACACAGGUGCUGCAUGGCUGUCCUCAGCUCGUGUCGUGAGAUGUUGGGUUAAGUCCCGCAACGAGCGCAACCCUUGUCAUUAGUUGCUACGAAAGGGCUCUUUAAUGAGCCUUCCGGUGACAACGCGGAAGAAGGUGGGGAAGACCUCAUGUCCUCAUGGCCCUUAUGGUUAGGGCUUCACGCGUCAUACAAUGGUACAUACAGAGCGCCGCCAACCCACGAGGGGGAGCUAAUCGCAGAAAGUGUAUCGUAGUCCGGAUUGUACUCUGCAACUCGACCUCAUGAACGAGGAAUCGCUAGUAAUCGCAGAUCAUCAUCUCGCGGUGAAUACGUUCCCGGGUCUUGCACACACCGCCCGUC
rnacentral:rRNA from 1 species